rnacentral:lncRNA from 1 species
UAAAUUCGUUUGAUUUUAUGUUUUAAAGCGUAGAUUCCAAGUUAAAUUGUAUGUGAAAUUAGAUUUCGGUAAAAUUGGAGUUGAACUCAAUUUUAACUAAAUUAACACGUAAGUAAACCCUUUAAAAUAUCAUAGAAUCAUAAGCAAUUUUACUCGAUUGUAUUUUGAUGUACUCAAUUUUACUUGAUUUUAAAGAAAUUAAUAUUUAUUUUAUUAUAUAGUCUUAACUUUUAACAACUUUAAAAUUCUAUGAAGU